AGUGCGCCGCGGCAGCGGCCCCAGCGCGCCCCAGCUGCUGCCUCCCCGGCCCCACGCCGCCACCACUACGGAGCUGCCGAGGCCCUGGGGGAUUUCUGCGAGGGACAGAGCAACGUGCGGGGACACCGGACCUCCCACAGCACACGGCGCCGUGGCUCCCAGCGCUCUGCAUAAUGACGGUGCUGGCCCAGUUUUUGCUGCUGAGGCGAGCAGAUUUUCAAGAACCAGCUCAUCCCUGGAGCACCACGGCGGAGCGGAAUGUGGGACACGGACAUCUUGGCCUCUUCAAUCCCAAAGCUACAAACGCUUCCACCACAUGUGCACACCAAGCCCUCGGGAGCUCAGGACACCAGACUGGGAAGAUGGAUGCUGAAGACAGCAGGGCUGUACCAGCUGUUUUGGAAACAGGACGCCUCCACCCGGCCUUUACAACCCAUACCAUCAAGGCGGUUAUUAAACUGAUACUUGCCACCUUCAGUGAUGAUUUUGGCUGGCGCCAAGCGGCACCGCAGCGAGGGAGCGGCGCGAGCCACCGAGCAUCCUCCCAGCCAGCUUUCAGCCCUCCUCCAGCCCCAGCAGCAAGGGCUGGGCACAGGGCAGACACCGCAGCGCUGGUUUCCAUUUCCUGCUGCAUGCUGUACCCCCCCCCUGCUAUUGCAAGAAGGGGCAUAGGCCACAUCCUGAGAUCAGACGGCCAUCCUUACCCAAAGCUCGUAACAUGA
rnacentral:lncRNA from 1 species